CAAGAAGUGCUUAUGAAUGAGUAUUCUGGAAUACCAUGCGGGAGUAAGUUUCUGCUAAGAUAUUCUCUUUUCACAAGUAGCAAUUGCUAUACAGUGUUAACUCUAUCAAAUACAGAUAUAAAUGGGACUUCUUUUUAAUUUCUAAAAUCUAAGAUGGUACUUGAUAAACUAAAGAUUUCCAUAAUUUCUGUUUGUCUUUCUUCGGCUAGGAAUGUUUAGUUUAUGUUAGCAUGUUGCUUUGAUAAAGAAUGUUGUUGCAAGGACAGAUCCAGGCAUGUAUUUGUGAUGAAUCAUCAACGAUUAUAACAUCUAUUUCAACUGUGUUUGUACUUUUCAAAUGUCUUGUCUUGUUGAUCUAGUUAAAUGUGUCGAUAUUUUGCUACUGUUAUACUUGUUUGGUUAACUUGAUCUUUCCUAGUGAAGUUCUUUUAAGAUAUAAGGUUUAUCUCAUUAUGGUUAUCAUAUAUUAGACAUUGGCAUGAACCAUUUUUAUGAAGUAAAUCAGCUUUAAAUUGUCUAGAGCAAUCUUUGCUUCAGUGCUGAUACCCAUAGUAGAAUAGAAACUCCUUUGUGAUCACAUGUUGGAACAAUUGACUUUCAAUGACGGUUCAUUUUGUUCUUACCUCGACUUUUUUGUUCUUCAGAUGCUGGAAAAAGCAACUCUUGAUCGCAAAAGAUGCACGACGAGUUGAUGCAUUAUGUUAUCGUAUUUCUCUUAGUCAUAAACUUCUCAGCCUAACUGAAAAGUAUCAGAGUUUGCAUGAGAUAGUUGACACAGCACGGAAGAAACUGGAGGCAGAGGUUGGGCCUAUCGAUGAUUUAUCAAACAUGGCACGUGGAAUUGUUAACCGACUCUCUGUUGGUGCUGAAGUUCAAAGACUGUGUGCCCAUGCAGUAGACUUACUAGAUUCUAUGCGUGGUAGUUCUUUGUCAGCUAAUAGUCAACUUCAGCGUAAGCUUCACUAAGCUUCAAGUUUACUGAGCAUUCUGGUAUCUGUUUGGUUUUGACUGAUUUUUUUUUUUGUGAAUUUUUAUUGCCUACAGAAAUUGGUACGGUAUCCUCCAGCUUCAUCAAAUUUGAAGAGAUAUUACCAACAUCUCUUACUGUGGCAUUGGAUAUAGAGGAUAACACACCAUUAGCUCAAGAGCUAGCUGGUUUCACUUUGUGGCACCGAAAGACUGACAACCCAGAAUACCCCAGGAAACCAUCAUUGUCUGUGUUUAAACCGAAGAAAAGGUUGCUAUUAACAGAACUAAUUCCAGCCACAGAAUAUAUGUUCAAGGUGGUAGGCUUCAGCAAAAUGCGGAACCUCUACACGUGGGAAGUUGGAGUAAAAACUAAAGCUAUCUCUCUUGAUGACUCUGUGGGUUUGGCACUGGAGACAACUGUAUCAAACCCACAUUGUCAAAUCUCUAAAACAAACAGUAGUGGCUUGUCUAAUCCCUUGGAGGGAGACGAAUCCAAUACCAAUAGUUCUGCAUGUGCUGACUUGAAUAAGUUGCCGGAAAUUGAUUUUGAUGAUUGUGAGAAGCCUCAGAUUCUCGAGACAGAAAAAUCAUUCGAUCAUGCCCAGAAAGAUAAUAGCCACCAAAAGAGUGAAUGUAAGGGCAGUAUUAGUGGAGCAGAAGUUCUUGAGCCAGAGGAUUCACAUGGGCACUCUGAUUCUGCAUUAGAUGAGGAGCCAAACUCAACCAUUCCGAUCGAGUCCACUAACUCUAUGGAGAAUAACCAGGCAUCUGACAUCCCGAAGUCGGAUAAUGAAUCUAACACUCCUGUCGUCAAUGAGAUGGUGAUCGUACCAUUUGGACAAUCAGAUCCCACCUUGCCUGCCACUCCUCCCUGCAGGUUGGAAACUGGAACAGAAGGUUCUGGAAGGUGCAUUAAAGGGAACAAUGGUUUUAAUAUAUUUGAGAAAGGCUCGUUGAAUCCAGACGUGGAACCAGGAAGUUCAUCCAAGAAAAGAGGUGGAGGAAAAUUUGAGGGUAUAAAUAUCAAGGAUGGGUCGAUGGAAGGGUUAUAUGAAUACUGUGUGAAGGUCAUUAGGUGGCUGGAAUGCGAGGGGCACAUCGAGAGCAACUUCAGGGUGAAGUUCUUGACUUGGUUCAGCCUGCGAGCAACCCCACAGGAGAGAAGAAUUGUUAGUGUUUAUGUUGAUACGCUGAUCGAUGAUCCCCCAAGCCUUGCAGGGCAGUUGGUGGACACCUUCUUGGAAGCGAUCUGCAGCAAGAGGCCACCUCCAGCGCCAACAGGCUUCUGCACGAACCUUUGGCACUGAGGAAGCUAUUGGACUCGAUAAUCAAUGUGACAAUUCUUUAGAUGCAAAUUAUUGCAUUAGUUAUUCAUCGGGCAUGUAUUCAUGGGUCAGCAAUUUCAGGUUAACUCAUAUUAUUGCUUGUCCACAAUUACAAUUUAUAUGUACCUGACACAUGAACAGAACUGUUUUGUUCCUCCUAAUGCUCUUUUGUUCUCAUGGCAUUCUGUGGCACUGCUCUUUAUCUUUGCAGAAACUUGAUGCCCAAAGUUCAUCAAUGUCGAAAGAAUCACUCUUUUGAAAGAAUCUACAUUGGAUAAACUGGAGAAAAGGACUGCUUGGAUGUUUCUUUUGAGUUUGACGUUGAUUCUUUGAUCUUGUGGAUGCACGUUUUUGCAUGGUUAACUGAGUGAAUAGUAAACAUGUAUAUUAAACAUGCUUUUGGGAGCUGGGCUGAUUCAUGCGCAAGGCUUAAUUCCCUGCUCAUUUCAGCCUAUACAAUCUGGAGCAAGAUGUUGCCCACACUCCUAUACUGUUCUGUGUUGAGGCUUUUUAUACGCGUGCACUUGGGAGCAAGGUGGUGAUAGCAAUAAAAUUACCACCACCACUUUCCUGUUCUCCUCCUCCACAUACUCGCAAUCACCAUGGCCUACUUUUUCUCCUCUGUUUCGAACUUUAAGAUGAAGACUAAAGACAUCGGCAAUCACAAAAGCAUACAAAAGCCUUGGAAGACAGUAAUCUAAUACUUGUUAGAUUCAUGGAAGAAAGGUCCCAACGCCAAAUAAUUCAACACAUCUACUGAUGAAUGGUGUGUGUGUGUGUGUUGAUAUAUGUAUCACAGAAUCACAUGCUAUUCUCCUCGUGAGGUGACGUUAAUUUAAUCACCUCUACCAGUGUUGGUUGCUACCAUAGGUUAGCAAAGAAAUGCAAAAUUAUUUGAUACUUAUAUGAAUAAGAUGUGCAAACUAUACACAACCACUCAGUUAUGGAUAUUUAUAUGAAUAAGAAGAAGUCGAACUAUACCCGACCACUCAAUUUGGUGGUGUGUGAUAAGGAUAAUAAUAACGACGAGACACGAACUAACGUCACCUGCUCCCGGGUAAUGUCUCCUGGGUCACGCCGACCGAGGAGCUACGGGGGUCGCCUGUCUCAGUCUGACCUGACAGCUUCUGGUCUAAGUAGACCAAAACGCCGAUCGAGGCACGUCGCCAUCCUGCAGGAGCCUGGUCUUUCACACCACGCCAAUGUCGAUGUCAGACGUUAUCCAAGGUACGAUCCUGCUCCCUGCAAGUGUGCACAUCAGGAAACGUUGACCUUCCUUAUAAAAACCCUUGCAUUCGGAACAAUAGGGGAGAGGAAAAAAAAACCCCGGAGAUUGUCGACUGACUUGAUUGUCGGAAGGGUCGAGCCGAGCUCUCCCGACCCGACCUGUGUGCAGGUACGAAGACGGAGUGCCUCCCACCAAAUGCCCAGGCGAGAUGUCCCAUCACGGAGAAAACAGUGACCCCGUCGAGAUCGGACCACCAUAGUCAGCUACCUCAGCAGCCUCAAGGGUCAUUCAGAAAGAUCUCCAAUCAUUCGGACAUGAACCCAACCGUGUUGGCCCGAGACCACGGCGCAAAGAUAUUGACACUAACAAUGCGUAUUCAGAUCUUAUUCUCAUAAGUUGAGAUUUGAACUCUUAUUCGCAUAAGCGAUGGUGUGUAUUCGGAUCUUAUUCACAUAGGUUGAGAUUCGAACUCUUAUUCCUAUAAUUAGAAUGUUCAUAUUGACAUAAUUAGAACACUAAAUAAGAUAACUAUUGUAAUAACCUAAAUGGAAUCAAAUAUUUUUUUCCCUCUCUCUUUUGUAAUAAUAUAAUUAGAUUAUUAUGAUAAUCUAAUCAGAACACUAAAUCAUACAUAAUGAGUCCUUUCUCUCUCUCUCUCUCUCUCUCUCUCUCUCUCUCUCUCUCUCUCUUCUCUAUCUCUUUCAACAAACAGCUGUCUGCGCAACGCCCACCUCUCAUCAUGUAGGUUGACAAUUUUGUCGUUCUUGAGCCAUUCCAGUUGAGAUUAUCUUGACAACCAAUUCACUGCUCUGCCAACAGUUUCUCUAAGCAUCAUUCAUGGCAUUCUCAUGCACAACAUGAAUCAUUGAGGGAUUAAUGUGGCUUGGGACCCCAUCUGCACCUGUAUUUGGUCCUCCACCCCAAGUACUCACUCCUCCACCAAAUCUUGGCCCCUCGGGAACACUUCUAAAUAAUUCCACCCAAUGAUCAUCCCCUCCUCGGCACUUCACCCAUGGCUGCUUGGGUCAUCCACCAUGUGCCAUGGUUUCUCAGGCUCCACGGAUGAGAUGGUUCUGAUGACCGGCACGCUCAGUGGCUGACCGUUGCUUUGCUCAUCUCCUUCCAUGACCAUGUUAUUUGGGUGUCGAGCAUGAAAAAGUAGCUCUGGUUUCAUCUUCCACCAUUAAAGCCUUGUGUUGAGCGUGCUUUGUUGAGAACAGUGGCAGGGAUGACGCCACCAUUUCCUCUUAGAAAACUCCCACCUUCCCUCAUGCAGUUUCAUCAUAAUGUAUUGCCACCUUGUCUCCUUCGGAAAGCUAAGCAUCCUCCUCUGGUUGUGUGCAGUGAUGGUGGACUGCUUUAGGAGUUCCUAAAGCAUUUGCAUCUCCCUUUCUUCUUCCUCCUCUUCUUUGAUCAUCACCUGCAUUUCGAGUGCAAGUGAGCAGAAGACAGAGUCGUAAGCAUGCGUCUUAAACGCUUGCUGUCUCUUGGAAUUGGUCGGAGGAGCAGAGGACAAGCGAACGCAGAGGAGAAUGCCUCCCCUGUUCGUGAGAGCCAACCUAUCCAUCAUCUGUUCGACGCGGAGCCACCUUGCAAGCCAACUUGGAGAUGCUUCUCCUACGAGGAGAUACAUCGAGCAACUGGUGGCUUUCGCCAAGGUCUGCUGACUCCAUGUUUCAGAGCGCUGUUACAUGGGAAACUCCGGCGGAUUCUCAUCAUCUUGUUGUUGUUUUGGUGGCGCUGGAGUUUGCAGAGAACCUGGUCGGGAGAGGCGGGUACGCCGAGGUGUACAGGGGAGUGCUCGAGGACGGGCAGGCGAUCGCGGUGAAGAGGCUGACGAGGGCGUCGUCGGACGAGCAGAGGACCAAGGAUUUCCUGACGGAGCUGGGCGCGGUCGGCCACGUCCGGCACCCCAACGUCUCCGCCCUCCUCGGAUGCUGCGUCGACCGCGACCUCCAUCUGAUCUUUGAGUUCUCUUCACGCGGCUCCGUCUGCUCCAACCUCUACGGUAACGUGACAUCGGGUGCGAAGCUGUUCGUGGAGAACGUCACACGCAGAACGUGGUCGAGCUUAUGUGUACGCUAUGUGCAGAUGAAAGCUCUCCCCCCAUGGCUUGGAAGCUGCGGCACGACAUCGCCGUGGGCACUGCGAGGGGGCUCCAUUACCUGCACAAGGGAUGCCAGAGAAGGAUCAUCCACAGAGACAUCAAGGCCUCCAACAUCCUCCUCACCGCCAACUUCGAGCCUCAGGUAGCAGCACUCAGCUAACCUCAUUGCUAAUUCUCCUCUCGAUCUGUACGACGAAUCCAUCUCCUCCACCGCAGAUCUCCGACUUCGGGCUCGCAAGAUGGCUUCCAACGGAGUGGACACACCGCGCCGUGGCACGGGCACCGAUAGAAGGGACGUUCGGGUACGAACUCCUCGAGAACAUUCAUGCAGGAGCGCAAGGUCUUUGAUGCUCGCAGCAGCUAACGAAGCUUGUGGUAUCACCAGGUGCUUGGCGCCGGAAUACUUCAUGCACGGGAUCGUUCACGAGAAGACCGAUGUGUUUGCAUUUGGCGUCUUCCUCUUGGAGAUCAUAUCAGGAAGGAAACCAGUGGAUGGAUCUCACAACAGCUUGCUCAGCUGGGUCAGUGUCAGCUGCAUCCGAUAGAUAUCGGGAACAUCACAGAACUGCUACUGCUAACUUUAUUUCAUACAGGCAAAACCUUAUCUACGUGAUGGCACUGUGCAAGCUUUGGUGGAUGCAAGACUAGGAGAUGAAUACGACAUUGAUCAGCUGAGGAAGCUCACAUUUGCAGCCUCCCUCUGCAUCAGAACAACCCCAACACAGCGCCCUUCCAUGACUGAGGUAAAUUACUGUUGCUGGUCACAUGAAGAACAACUUUAGGAUGAAAGAAUCAUGCCAAAAAGGCACUGAAAGAUCAUUGAAACCCACUAAAAGUGUGCUGAAGUGGACAGUAGAAGAAGCUCGGAAGGAAGUAAAAGGUUUAGCAACACCAGGAAACUUGAGAAGAUGCAGGUUUCAUGGUAGAUUGAUUCUCUCUAUCAAGUUAUAUUUGUUUAGUUGGAUGCCUAAUUGAAGGCCAAACUACUGGUGACUUAGGAGGAAUAUAUUGGUGACAGGUUGCUUUCUUCCUAACAAUUCUGUCUGAGUCCGUCUCUGAUUAGCUCUUAGGGUCAUUCCCACAUGUAGUGUUUUUGCUUGGUUUAGAUUAGACAACUCCUAAUGAUGAUAAUCAAAUGAAUAAUGGCAGGCAUUGGACAUACUAGAAGGCAGGAAGAUAUUGCAAGAUCAGUGGAAGAUGCCAGAGGGAGAGGAGGAAGAACAAGAGUUCUGGGGCUUUGAUGAUCUGGACGACGACGACGACGACGAAUGUGAUACUGCCUCAUCAUCUUCGUCAACAGGGAGAUCGCAAUCAUAGAUUUGCUUAAGCAAUCAAUGCCAUUGACCUAACACCAUUGUAGUGAGAGAAAGUAAUGAUCAUAACUACUCACUUAUGCUGUGAUGGUUAUGUUGUCGAUCUAUCAGGUGUAGCGGGUCAAGGCAUUUGGCACAAGUCAAUAGAUUGACUGCUGGUAAUUUAGGGAGUAAAUUAGAUCGUGAUGUAACAAGCCGACAAGCGACAGGAGAUAUUAAUGCAUGAGACUUCGACCGAUGCAAGUCUUACUCCCAAAAACUCAUAUAUAUGAGAGUUCAAUUGCCUGGCUAUCUUAGAUUCAUUAGCUAUGGUUGUGGAGCUUUGCCUUAUUUGGAGAACCACAGGAUCAGCUGAGAUUAAGAUUAGAAACAAGCGAUGUUACCUAGGACUGAAUUAUCAUCAUGAACAUACCUGAAACUAACAGAUGCUGUGGAAUAAUUGGAAGGGACCAAGGAAAUCUCCUUGGUUGGCCAAGGACUGAACUCAGACAACCCGGGAAAGGAAGCAUGACAUCGAAAUGGAUGCCGAGGAAGGUGAUGAAAGCCUUAUCAUUUCGGAUACACGCCCAUCUCUGUGUCGAAAGAAGACAAGGAUCAGAAAACUACAACCUGCACCUGCUCUGUGUCUUAUCAAGUGGGCAAAAACUAUGAAUCCAAACAGCUAGAUAGUUUGUGUGAUAAUAUUGAAAAAUAGGUAUCAGAAUUCUAGAUCUGAAGAGCAAAGAUCAAAAGUAAAAUGAUAUGAAGAUAAUAGAUUGAGAGAGGCCACUGGUUAUCUUCUGCUAUAUAUUUCAGAUGUUUGCAGAUAUGAGAGCACCCAUAUUACUUCAGUUCAUUCAAGUUUGCCAGAGGACUGAUCUUUGAUCUGUUCUUGAUGACCUCUCUAUUUGCCUUCAUACACACAAGCCUCCCACAUGGUUGAAUUCUAGUCACAUCUUUGUUCCUUCAUGUUGCAAAAGUAGCAGUAGUAAGUGUUAUUGAUCUCCUAGUAACUUUGUUACUGUUCCAGAUUUACAAUAAAGGAUGACAAUACAAUAACAACAAAAAAAACAAGAAGGCACAAUAUGCCAAUUAUUUAGCAUUUGACCAUACAAAAUUUUUUUCUGCUAUUAAGUUUUAUACAUAAUAAUAUGCUUAAUUAUCAAAAGCAUCUAAAUCUUUAUUUAUAUUUUAAAGAGAAAUCUUUUUACAUAUCCCCGAACUAAAAUGAAGUCACCUGAGAAUCAAUCAAAAUUUCACCAAUUUAUUCUUUUUUUCUGGUCCGAAGCUACCGAGCAGCAGACAGGAAGAGAACUAGAAUAGAUGUGGAUGCCUUCUCCAACAACAUAGACGUAUGAUGUUUACAGCUCUCAUGUGUUGCUGCUUGAGAAAACUGGCACGAGGGACUUGAAGUUUUAAUGCAAACAUUUUAUAAACUAAUAGAAUAGAGCUCUAAAUGUCAUACAAAAGGAACAUAGAAAUCACUUUGAUUGGUUUUGGAUGGAUGAUGUCUAGCAAUUGGCCAUAUUAAAAUGCUAACAUGGUGAAACAUUAAUCACAGAUUCCAGCCUCCUUAAUGCCCCAAAUGUGAUCAGCAUGAUGGCAUGGUAGCCGUCGUAGGAUCAUUUGUUGGUAAUUCAUGGAGAACGCUUUGAACCAUCGAUAUGCAAUUAUAAAUAUGAACUUCACCGGAGGUUUUUUAGGUUUUGGAUCUGAAAAAUCAAUAUUAAAGAAGCUUACCACAUGGCAGAAAUGCAAGAGCAGAUUCAGAAACAAGCAAUUUCAUGGAAGAUAUUGUGAUAAGUUUUACCUCCCUAGUAACUUAUCAAAUGGCUUGCCCUUUAUCAGCGAGCUCUUUUGUUUUACUAACUUUGCCAAUUUCCUUUUCCUGCAAUACAAAAAAGGAAACUUACAUUAGAUCCUCGACCCACCAAGAAAUAUAGAUCAUACGGGAGGAAUUAGGCACUCCGAUAAAUAAUAAAUUCACUCAUCAAACAACAAGAUAGGAUGUGUUACUAGCACAUCAAAAUCAAGAAAAUCCGUCGAUGGUCUGACAUUGAGAUUGAAAGAUCCUCCUGGAAGAUUAUGAAAAAUAAAUUUGGGAAGAAACAUGCAAAGGAAAAGGUGGUUAAGUGUCAGAUGCAAUUAGCGCACUAUUGCCAAGAGACAAUCUCAAAACUCCCAAAGUUGCACCAGACAAAAGCUGCAAAGGAUGAUAAAGCAUCUUUGCAAACCAUAUGAAUUAGAGCAAAUGCAGAUACAUUCCUGAACUCAAAGACCUGAUCAAAACCACAUGGGGAACCAAGACAUUAACUAAAGAAAAAGGAUCACUACUGUCUAGAUUCAAUGGACUAACAGAAUGAACAUGCUACAUAAUGCUAUAAGUGCCCUAUAUUUGCAAGGUAUAGGAGAAUAACAUGCCAAUUUCAAAAUGCUCUUAUUUUCACACUAAGAUAGACAAAAGCUGUAUCAAAUAGAUGUUCUUAAUCCUUAUUCUUCACUAAGACAUUCCACUAGAGAUCUCUUUAUCCUGUAUUGACCUCUCCAUACAAGUUAGUGGCCUACGUACUUGUACGGUUGUGUACAUAUACAUUUCACAACAAAAUAAACUUUCCCAGCCUAAUUGGCGAUAAGACCAACCAUAUUUGCAUAUCAAAUUGCACUUCCAACUUUGACAUGCAAAUCUUAAUUAGUUAUGAACCUUAAACACAUUGUCCCUAGUUGUCAAUAUAAUGAAUGCCACCAUGUCUGUCUCAUCUUCUAUGAAGUUCCGAUAGAGCACAAAAGAGAACAAUUUGACAUACAAAGAACAUACAAUACAUGACUGAGAACAGACACAGAGUUCAGGUGUCAACACAAGAUAUUUGUUUAUGAUAUCAUGCAUCAGUCCCUGCCAUGAUUCGUACGAAAAAAACUUCAAAGUUAGAAUUAUGAUUUCAACCUCAUGUACACUGAUCAGCAAUACUGAAUAUAUUGUCAUAGAUGCCUAGUUUCUUCUUCAAAUCCUCAUAUACAAGGAGCAGGGGAACUGAUGUAAACAUAACUAAAUCUCAGAGUAGCACAAGAGAAUAUCUAGAUCACGGUCAUAUCAAGAAUGAUUCUCUAGGUUCAUUACUAAAAAACCUGCACCAAUUCUUAGGCCCCUUCUAACCACCCUCCCAAAAUGUAUUUCACCUCCUUUCUUAAGUAUCAAGAUGUCCCUAAUUCAUUCGGAUGAUUCUUUGCAGAUCAAAGUAAAUAAUGUAGGCAGACAGCAUUAAGGUAGAAAUGCUUGUUGAGAACAGAUUUGAGGAGUUAUGCAAACAGUCAGAGUAAGUAAAAAAGAAGUCUCCGUAUGAAAUGCCAAACCAAUUUUGGAGGCCAUUUACAGAUCAAGCACAUUGCUCUAGGAAGCAAUUCCAGUUGGUAAAUCGGAACCAUCCAACAGAAAAAUGAAUUAUAAAGCAGUUGAACAGCACAUUUCACGGCCAAAUCAAGUAAAAGAGAGCUCAGAAACACUGAAGAAAACCAAUUAACCUUUCCACUGCUCUCAUAGUAAUCAUUCAAAGCCCACUGGUACUUCGACUGGUUCAACCCGAACCAAUCCGCCAAGUAUUCAUCCAAACUUAAAUGCGCUGCCAACAAAAACCAAACAGAAUAAGGAAAGGAAAAAACCACUACAAGCCCCGCGCCCAAACAAAAUUCACAAAAAGAUACCAUCUUGGACUUUGACGACGGCGUCCCAAAGGAACCCGAACACGGAUCCAGCAGACUUGACGGCCGGCUUUUCGAACUGCUGCGGCGGAACCUGAACCGGCGGCGGGGCGGCAACGAGACGGGGCGGCGAAAGGGGAGCCUUCACCGGGAAAGGAGCCUCCUUUCCGGGGCUGCUGGAGCUCAAUGCCGGCGCAGGGCUCGCAAUGCGGGAUCUCGGGCCCUCAGACGGCGUCGGGGUCGACGGCGGGGUGAUGAAGACAGUGAAGCUCCCAGCCUUCCCGAUCACCGGCGGCGGUGGAGGCGUCGGCGCUUCGGCCAUAUGGGAAGAGAUGGAUCGGUGCUAGGGCUCAGUAGAACGGGAAAGUGGUGCGAGGAGGGGCGCCUCGUGGGAACUUGUCACCGAUGCGUUCCUCUUCGGCCUACUGGUUUUGAUCGCAAUGGAAGUGAAAAGGAUCCCUUUUUCCCCCCUCCAUGCAUUAACCUUUCGUAUCCUCUUUAUACAAUUGGGCUUGUAGUUGGGGAGAAUAGCGGAAACGGCACUGACGUUAGGUGGCGAAGUCACGCGGGCAGCGUGGGAAUGCUCGGGUGACUUUGGUUUACACUUGGGGGUCUGCCAUCGGCCCAGUGGCCCCCACCGCCUCCUGAGAGGUGAGCCGUGUGUGUUCCCCACUCUUGGCCCCACCCAUCUUACAGACGAUGGUUGGGCGGUACCCGUUCGUGUUGAAUGCUUGCCGGUCUACGGCAGAGGAAGUGGUUUGAACUGAUACAGGCGGAGAAGACACCAACCCAACUCUGUCGGUCUCUGACGAAGCGCGUUUCAUACAUCGGCCCCACCCCAUCUUAAUAGACGAUUGGCUGAAGACAAGUGGGUUGCCGAAGUACCUCACACACACACAGCUGUUGUCCACUUCUCCAUGUAAAAAAUUCACCAGACAACAUGCUAUCAUCGAGUGGUCUGAGAACAAAACUUAAAGGCAGCUACUUCUAUCUGGUCCAUGCUACUCUAAUAGCAUUUAUUAUUUGAUUCACGGGCAAAGCUACACCUCCUUGUCCCACAAUGCAUAGUUUAUUAGUUCAUUGUGUAGAAUUCCAAAGCUGCAGCCUGACUCCAACUUAGUAAACAUCAAGCGCCUAGGCACUGAGGAGGAACAACAUUCCCAUGGUUUUAGCCAAAGAACAUGGGCACAAUACAGAAAGAUCUUGUUCUGCAAAGAAACAAAGAUGUCAGAUCCAAGGCAAAUUUGAUGACGAUGACUGCCCUAACCUCGACGGAGGGCGUCCAUGAAGCUGGUAUCUCUUGCCAUGCCAAUAUGCAUGUGUCACGUAGAAGGACACCAGCCGUGCCAAUAGCUAUGCAUGCAUAGGAGGCAGCCAGGAUGGAUGUUGGGCAUCCAAAUCCUCAUUUGAGUAUGCCUUCUUCUCCACAGCCACCAAAUACAACCAGCCAGGAUCCAUUUUGAGCAGAAUAGUGAAUGGAACCACGUACCAGGAGGAGCAGAGGGCACACUGACAUGUCUCCAACGCAAAGGUAUCAGUCAUUGGUUGCAUGUUAAGACCCUCGCCACCAAAAAGAACAGCACGAGCACUGACUGAAAUCGCAACUAGAUGGCUCCACAGCACCUCCAACUCUCAAUUUCCUCCAUGAAACAGCUUCAGGAGUGGUCAAUUCCCUUGCAAGUCUUCCUCAUCCAAGUCUUCUGAUACAGUCUCUAACGCAUGAGUGGUCUCACUGCCCCAUGCAUUUUGACAAACCAUAUUCUCCAGGGAUCUUCAUUCCUUGAUAGCUGACAAAGCCUCUCGCACGCUUAACCAACAGAUGCAACAUCAAUUGGUGACAACAUCCCACUACAUUCUUCAACCUCCUAGCCGAAGACAACGGAAGAAUUUGAGGAGGUGCGUUAAAAUAAGUAGACAGGCUCGGUUCGAAGAGUUUUAGGACAUACAUCUACUUGUUGUGCAUCCCAGAGGAAAUGCUCUUCCUGGUGCUUGUAGGUCUGAGACUACGUAUUGACGCGCGUCUUGGUCCCCUCGAAGGUCAGCGGAAAGACGUUCAUGACGAUGAUGGUGUCGCCGAAGCGAGCGUGCACCAUCAUCUUCAGCAGCACCAGAGGCGCCGACAUCUUCGCCCGGCGGAAGUAGUUGGGAUCCUGCGACCACGGCUUCUCCUGCUGGAUCUUGGCCUGCGCCGCCGCCGCCUAGGAGAAGGAGUCUCUCUCUCUCUCUCUCACGGAAGCGAUGUUAUAAAGAGCACUAUUGGGUGUAGUGAUGGAUCGGCCCGCGCCCUUAAAGCCCGACCCACAAGUUUGACGGGCCUGCAAUUAGAUCCGUUUGGAUCCGCAAGUUAUCGGAUUAGGUUUAGACAACCCUGAAACAAAUUUAAUGACACACAUAAUUAAUCUUUUCUUUUUCUACGCGACACAGAACCAAAUAUCUGAAAUUAGAAUUAAAAUUGAGUUAUUUGGAUCGAUGGCUCGUUGCAUAGUGAGAUUACGUAGCUCGAUUCAAAAAUACUAGUUUAAUAUUCAUGAAAAUUACAAGGGUUCCAAAAUAUUGGAUUAAGAUUUUAUUUCGAGAGGUUGGGAUGGAUAAUCUAUUGGGUAUAUUUGGAUAAAUAAUUUUACACAUAAAAUGUGGGUAGACUUUUCUUGUACCUCCGCACUUGGUUAAGGAUCAUUUGUGGACUUUGCAAUUGUUAUUUUUUCUUUUUUCACUCUAUGCACACUAAGUAUUUGUUAAAUUAUUUGAAAGCUACUUUUUUUUGUGAGACGUAAGGAUUUAUCCAUUAUUUAUUUUCUGAACUAAUUAAUUUUUUAUUUUUAUAAGUUUUUGGGACAUAGAUUGCUUCUAGGUUAAACCUUUAUAGAUGGAUAUCGUAAGGACAACUCAUGUCUUAGACAAUUCCAAUUAAGUCGAUGAUAUUCAUAGUUUUAUUUUAAAAAAUAAAUUAUUUUUUGAUUUAAUUUUUUAUUAAGGUUAAAUUUGAUCAUCAAUUUCAUUUGAUAAAAUUGACCCAUUCUAACUCAUAUUUCCAAUACUAUCGCAUCAAGAAGAAAAUGCUCGUUAAGUAUUUAACUCGAGAAUAAAAGAUACAUGUCUUCUAUCUUGGUUCUUGUAAAAGAUGGGUAGAAGAUAUCCGUAUCUCAUAUUAUCUAGCAAAACACCUCUAAUAAUUAUAUAAAUACAUAUCACAAGUGUUUAAACUAUUUCUAUGAGUUAAAUCUUAAGCACUGGAUCAUAAACUAUAUAUCUAUCAUAAUCAUAAAGAAUUUAUGUUAAACUUGAAAUACUAUAGUAUAUAUCGAGUCUAAUUAACUCUCUAUUUCCAUACUUUCUGUCUUUCUGUAAAUUUUGAUUGUGAAUGAGCCAAACAUUCCAUGAUUAAGAAUUGUCAUGCAAAACAUUUGUGCUUGUGUGGUCAAGAACACCCUCUACUAACAAUGCCAAUCUUAACCAAAGAGGAUAGAUCAGAAAUCCAAAGACCAAUAAUAUAACAAGAGGUACUAAUGCAAUGAAUAAAAGAACUACUAACUAAAGAACCUAAGCAGAGACUACUCUAAUCUAUCUGGCCAUAUAGCUGCUAAUCCCCCAACACUCAGCCUUACUCAGACUGAAACCCUAAUCAAAAUACUAAAGUAGUCUCUUUGGUAGGAGAAGCAUCAUCUCAAGAGUUGCUGCACAACACCAAGUAUCAGUGAGAAGAAUACAGUAGACUACUCGAUGAGGAGCAUGGCACACUAUACAUAUAUGAUUGAAGAGUGUGUUGAUUUGCACUAAUACCCACAAGAUUUCACAUAACAGGAAGAGGAAGAUGAAGACGAAGAAGAGGUAGAUAUCUCUAGAGAGCCACUGUAAGUCAGCUCCUGGAUCAUCUCUUCGAUGUACUCCUCAUCCGUACACUGGGCGACGUCUUCUUGGCUUCCGAUCGGCGUCGCCUUGCCUCUCCUGCUCUCGUCCCCGGAUGCGGAGCAGCACCGCUCCAGCUUCGCCAUGAGGUUCGGUGAUAAGACGGACGAGAAGUUGGGGUCGAAGGGGAAGUUGGUCCGGGCUGUCGGUCCGCACAUGAGCCGCGCCGCCUCGUCGUAGGCCCUAGCUGCGUCCUCCGCCGUUUCAAACGUGCCCAGCCAUAUCCUUGUCUUCCUGAAAUCGAAGCAACCUGGUCAAGCGACAUAUACCUUAACCUCUCUCUCUCUCUGAGCUAAGGUUAAGCGAAGGUACUGAGAGACAUUACAGAGUAGGAUGGCGGAUCUCGGAGACCCAUGAGCCCCAGUGCCUUUGCCUUACUCCUCGGUAUCUUUGUAACUUUGGCAUGUCUCACGAAUGUGCGCAGCAGCCGCCUGAGAAAGAGAGAUGCUUCGGGAGAUGGAGGCAUAUAUAUAUAUAUAUAUAUAUAUAUAUAUAUAUAUAUAUAUAUAUAUAUAUAUAUAUAUAUAUAUAUAUAUAUAUAUAUANNNNNNNNNNNNNNNNNNNNUAUAUAUAUAUAUAUAUAUAUAUAUAUAUAUAUAUAUAUAUAUAUAUAUAUAUAUAUAUAUAUAUAUAUAUAUAUAUAUAUAUAACAAACAUGGGUGACAGUAUUACACUUUUGGUACGGCAGCCCACUGGAGGCCCAUAUCUCAUUGGGCUUUUAGCCAGCGUCAAUCUCACAGUUUUUGGAUAAAAUUUGAACUACACUAAUCACGAUGAAAAAGAAUUGGUGUUUGUAUUGAGUUACAAAAAUCUUCGUGGAGAUUAAGCAUUGCAUUAAGAAUAUAAAUUAAUAGAUCUUGUGAUGUGAAGAUUACAUCAAUACCGAUAAAAAGUAGGGUCGAGUAUCUAUGAACUUGAUGAUGGUGACGAGAAACAUAAUUGAGCCCAGUAGGCCCAUAAGCCAUUGAGUAAUAACGUAUAAAAGAAGAGGGCUAAAUUGGUAGAGCAAAGAGGUCCGUCCCCUUCGCGUGGCCCCAUGCGUUAGCUUUGCUCCCCCCAUGUUUCUCUGUCAGAAAGAGCUCAUGUCAUGGAGCCAUUAUGAGUUGUGGGGCUGAUGCCAAGUGACAUCACAAUGUUUGCAUUGCCCAAUCGGGGGACAUCAGCAUCUGAGCUACCUCUAAUCUCUUAGUUCUCAGAUAAAAAGUGUCAUGGGGGUGUCUCCCUCUGGUGUAGCAAAAGGAUGAGCAUCACAGAAUGGUUGUCCCAAAGUUAAAGCAUUCCAACAUGAUCCCUUGUUGUUUAGCCAACUAAACUCUUGGGAAGAUCCAAGAUUUGCACAUCAAGAAGAAUUGUUUGUUUGGCUAAGAUCCAAGAUUUGCAUGGCCAAAGGGAAUGAAUGCAUUGUGCCUCUUUGGAUUGUUUGGUGGCACAACGAUGUCUCUCACAAGGAGUGGGUGGAUAGAUGUAGGGGGAGCGCAUGGCAUGGCACAUGGAAGCAUUUUGCGGAGCACAUGAAUGGUAGUGGCUCUUCAAGGGCCAGGAACAGAGGGGGCCAACGGUGGGGAUGGGUGGUGGGGCCCAAUGACAUUUCAUUUGAGGCAUUGCAUGUGGCAAGUUUAGAAGGUUGUCUCAUAUUUUACAUUUUUUUGGCCCUAUAUAAAAUCAGAAAAAAAAUUAUUUGUGUCCUCCAAAUUUAUUUAUGCUGUUAUAUUUCUAAUUAAUAUUAAAAUAUUAUGUGUCUGGAGGCCUAAUGCAUAAAAAGAUGAGAACAGAAAGGUCUUUUUUGGUAUCUUAGAAUUUUUAUAUUUAAAAAUCAAAAUAGUUUUGCUAAUCAUAAUUCAUAGUAAUUGAUUGGAUGGACACCAGUGGAAUUGGAUGAUAUAUACGAAGGAUUUGUAUAUUUGGAAGAAUAUAUAUACUAUAUAUACAUUAAUUUUUCAAAGGAUAUAUAAAUAAAAUAUUAUAAAUUUAGGAUCUUAACUCUAGAAAUAUUUUUUCUUUUUUUCUUUUUUGACAAAUAGAUUAGAUCCUUGGAUCUCACUCUCAAUAGUCAAAAUCGGGUCUAUUUCAUAGGAAUGUUUUCUUCUAUACAUUCGACGAGUUUAUUUGAUAGGGAUCUUUUCUUCGGUAGACCCGAUGGAUCUAUUUAUAACCUAGUUUAAUAUAUAACCUUUGUUAGGUUUUCAAUUGUAAAAAUACCCGACACAAUUAAUUGUCAAUAUUUAUAUCCAUGCGACUUUCCUCAUUAUUAUGAUGUUUGAUUUCUUUUAUGGAUUAUAAACUUAUCCUACAAAAUAGUAUAAAAAAUAUCAAAAUAUUUUAUUAUAAACAUUCCACUAUCAUCAAAUUUGAUUUAUAGUGUAAAACUUCCAAGUUUUUCAAUCAUAAAAACUAUUUACACAUCAAUAUGCACAAGAAAAUCUAUCUAUUCAUUCUUUAUUGAAUCUGACAACAAGUGGAGCCUAUGAUUUAAUAUCUAGUUUUUCCAUAUUGAAGACUAAUUACAUAUUGCUCCCUAUAAUUAGUUAUCUUUGGUAUAAAAUAUCACACGUAUAUAGUGAUAAAUCAAAAUGAGAUAAAGUCAGUAUAUGCUUAAUGGUAAAUCUUAUGAUAUUUCGUUAGCUAAAUCGAUGGUGUUAAGAGAAACAUGUUUAAAUAUUUUAUUUUUAUAAAUAUAGGGAUCUCAAUAUAAUUUUUUUAAAUAUAUAGACUGAAAUAUUAGAUGUAACUAAUUAUAUAUAUAUAUAUAUAUAAAGUAAACAUCAACUUGCAUGAGAUAUUUAAGCCCAAAUGCUUUAAACAGCUUCACAAAUGAAACUAGCUGGAAUAUUUAGUGUUGAGGGGAGGUUGUUUGCACUCCAUCUUCGCUAGAAGAAAGAACGAGCUGGAUGAUUUGAUCCUAUGUCACUGCAAGCUUAUGUUUAUGUUAGGGUUGAUAACUAUUCAUUAAGAUUCUAAUAAGAUUUUGAAUUAUUUGGAGAACAAGGUUAUUUGAAAGAAGAAAAAAAAAAUUGAAGGGAAAGAAAUUCUAGAUCUAAUUAUUUUGGAAGUACUUGAUGUAUUUCAAGAUCUUAAAGAGAACGAGGCAUAAUGGAAAAUCACUUUUAAGUAGUCAUAUGAUUUUUUUUUUAUACAUCUAAAGAUACGAAAUAAAUGAAGAGAAAAGUUUGAUGUUGGAGUCCGAGACGAAGAGAGAAGAGUCUUGUUCUUUUUAUUUGAUUAUUUUCAUAUACUGAAUGAUCUAAGUUCUUUCUUUG
rnacentral:lncRNA from 1 species